rnacentral:tRNA from 1 species
GGUGAGGUGGCCGAGUGGCUGAAGGCGCGCCCCUGCUAAGGGCGUAUACCGACAGGUAUCGAGGGUUCGAAUCCCUCCCUCACCG